UACGGAGGGUGCGAGCGUUGUCCGGAAUCACUGGGCGUAAAGGGCGCGUAGGUGGCGCGGGAAGUCAACGGUGAAAGUUCGGGGCUCAACCCUGAAUCGGCCGUCGAUACUCCCGGGCUCGAGCACUGUAGAGGCAGAUGGAAUUCCGGGUGUAGCGGUGGAAUGCGUAGAGAUCCGGAAGAACGCCGGUGGCGAAGGCGGUCUGCUGGGCAGUUGCUGACAUUGAUGCGCGACAGCGUGGGGAGCAAACAGG
rnacentral:rRNA from 1 species